rnacentral:rRNA from 1 species
AGGAGGCAGCAGUGAGGAAUCUUGCGCAAUGGGGGCAACCCUGACGCAGCAACGCCGCGUGAGUGAGGAAGGUUUUCGGAUCGUAAAGCUCUGUCGGGUGGAAAGAAAGGCAUGGUGGUUAAUACCUUCCAUGUUUGACGGUACCACCAAAGGAAGCACCGGCUAACUCCGUGCCAGCAGCCGCGGUAAUACGGGGGGUGCAAGCGUUGUUCGGAAUUAUUGGGCGUAAAGAGCGUGUAGGCGGCUUGAUAAGUCAGAUGUGAAAGCCCUGGGCUUAACCCAGGAAGUGCAUUUGAAACUGUCUCGCUAGAGUAAGGGAGGGGGAAGUGGAAUUCCUGGUGUAGAGGUGGAAUUCGUAGAUAUCAGGAGGAACACCGGUGGCGAAGGCGACUUCCUGGCCCUAUACUGACGCUGAGACGCGAGAGCGUGGGUAGCAAACAGGAUUAGAUACCCCAGUAU